rnacentral:lncRNA from 1 species
UGAACAAACAUGUGAUCUACAACAUAUGCUGAACAAACAUGUAAUAUAACAUGUGAUCUGCAACCACAUGUGAAUGAAAAUAUAUUAGGCUGCUGCACAUGAAAUAGUACUAUGCAACUUAUGAAUCCUCUUGCGAAUGAAAACAUCCAAGUCAAAAUAUGUUCCUGUAUUUCGGGCCCCAAAUCGAAGCCUUACAAAGUAGAACCUUAGAUUAAAAGCAGAGAACAAAGAAAGCUUACCAAGGUGUCCUAACAAAAGAUAGCUCUAGCAAAUAACAUAUAACCAAAUUAUAACUUAUGCUAGUAAAGAGGCUAAAAAGAAUAAGAUUUAGACUAUACCCUUUCCAACCAG